rnacentral:lncRNA from 1 species
CACCUCUGAGCAUCUACAGAUCUUGCAAUUUGUAGAUAGCAUUUGCCUUCCGAAAAGUUUCCUUGAGACCAUGUGAGUCUGAAGAUAAAUUGUUUAAUAGUGAAUGUUGUUAUAUUUAUGCAAGUUGGAUGCUAUUAAAAAUUUCUUAUUUCCCAUUUUGGGAAUGAAUUGUGCUUUAUACUAGCUGUUAGAGAAAUAUUGGAACACAGUGUGCAUGAUAGUUCUUUUUAGAAUACGUAAAGAACUUUGUAUCCCGAUGAACUCACGAAAAAAGAGAUUUGGAAUUAUGUCCAAGCCUAAAGAAGGGCCAUGCCUAAAAUAGAAUUCCGCACCCCUUUCUAAUAUUACUAACGGGUUGAUGUUGUUGCACGUCGUGGCGGGGACGGCCGUGUAGCAGCCGUAUGUGCACUGCUUGUGCGGGGCGCCAAUCUGGAGGCCCCUGAUCCGAAGGGAAGCCACUGGAGCUGCUGUGGGAGAUGGUGGCGGUACGCUGGUAGAGCUGGGAGCAUACGUGGAGGGGCUGGACCUACUGGUCCUUGAAGGUGCUGAUAUACAUAGGUGCUUUGAGAAAAAAAUCAGUUAG